rnacentral:rRNA from 1 species
GAUCUGAUCAUGGCUCAGGACGAACGCUGGCGGCGUGCCUAACACAUGCAAGUCGAACGGAGAAUUUUAUUUCGGUAGAAUUCUUAGUGGCGAACGGGUGAGUAACGCGUAGGCAACCUGCCCUUUAGACGGGGACAACAUUCCGAAAGGAGUGCUAAUACCGGAUGUGAUCAUCGUGCCGCAUGGCAGGAUGAAGAAAGAUGGCCUCUACAAGUAAGCUAUCGCUAAAGGAUGGG